rnacentral:rRNA from 1 species
UACGUAGGUGGCAAGCGUUGUCCGGAAUUACUGGGUGUAAAGCGCGCGUAGGCGGUAGGCCAAGUCUGCUGUGAAAUCGCCCGGCUCAACUGGGCGCGGUCGGUGGAAACUGGUCAACUGGAGGACGGUAGAGGCGAGUGGAAUUCCCGGUGUAGUGGUGAAAUGCGUAGAGAUCGGGAGGAACACCAGUGGCGAAGGCGGCUCGCUGGGCCGGACCUGACGCUGAGGCGCGAAAGCUAGGGGAGCAAACAGG